AUACUUACCUGGACGGGGUCAAUGGGUGAUCAAUAAGGCCCAUGGCCUAGGUCAGUGACCUUCAUUGCACUUGGAAGGGGUGCUGUCCUAAGGUCUCCCCAAGUGGGAGAGCCUACGUCAUAAUUUGUGGUAGUGGGGGCCUGCGUUCGCGCGGCCCCUCC
rnacentral:snRNA from 1 species